UUCAGUCAUAAUGUUUACAUCAACAACAAACAAACCAUUACACUUUACUAUGCACAUUUUUGCCUGGAACAUCAACCUUUAACCUUUAAACCUGUCUG